GGAGCCGUGCCUGAAACAAAGGGCCACUUUGAUGUAGUGAAUCAUGAAGGUUAGAGUCCUUCCAGCUCCU
rnacentral:tRNA from 1 species